CACAAAUGGUGAAGGGGUGCAUCUAGAACACAACUGACAAAAAAUAAUGUACAACUGAAAUUUCACAAGAUUGUAACCUAUCAUUAACUCAAUAAAAAUUUUAAAAGAAAAAAAGGAAUUUUAACAUUCACUUCUAAUUCCUUGCCUUAACACUCUAAGUAUAUUUUUUCUUGAUAUUUCCUUUCAAUCAUUUAUCACAUAUAUGCAUAGCUUCUAUAGUUUUAAUAAUAAUGCAAAAGAAAUAUAUAUAUAUAUUUUUCUUUCUUUUGCAGGAGAAGAUUCACCCCAAGCUAACAUCUGUUGCUAAUCUUUCUCCUUUUUUCUUCCUUUUUACCCCCAAAGCCCCGGUACAUAGUCGUGUAGUUGUAAAUUCUUCUGGUUCUUCUCUGUGAGCCGCUGCCACAGCAUGGCAACUGACAGAUGAGUGGUGUGGUUCUGUGCCCAGGAACCGAACCCGGGCCGCUGAAGCAGAGCAUGCAGAACUUUAACCACUAGACCUUCAGGGCUGCCUCAAAAUGUUCUUUUUUUAAAUAAUAAUUUUUAAAAAUAAUUUCAUCAUCUGUACAAUUUUAAUUGCUGCAGACUUCAUUAAUUUGAUAUAUCAACAUUUAAUUAUGUUCAGCAUUCAGUUUAUUCACAUAUUGUUCUUUUUGUAUGUAUUUUGUCACUGAAUAUCUGUCGUGGGUUUAAUUGUGUCCCUCCAAAAAUUUCUAUGUUGAAGUCCUAACUCCCAGUGCCUCAGAAUGUGACCUUACUUGGAAAUAACGUUGUUGCAGAUAUAAUUAGUUAAAAUGAGGUCAUUAGGCUCAAUAUGACUGAUAUUUUUAUUAAAAAGGGAAAUUCAGACACAGAUACACACACAGGAAGAGCACCACGUGAAGAUGAAGGGAGAAAUGGGAGUGAUGCUUGUGCAAGCCAAGAGCUGUCAAAGAUUGCCAGCAAACCACCAGAAGCCAGAGGAGAGGCAUGGAGCAGACUCUGACAGCCCUCAGAAGGAACCCACCCUGGCAGACACCUUGAUUUCAGACUUCUAGCCUCCAGAACUGUGAGACAGGAAAUUUCUGUUGUUAGAGCUGCCCAGUCUGUGAUACUUAAGCUCUACCAGAUUAAUACAACGUCACUGAAAUACUCUGUGGGUUAAAAACCAGAAAGUGGCAUAGAGAGAACUGAUGGAGACUUAUUCAGCACCAAAAGUCCACAUUCCAUUUCAAAGAACAGAAGAGAAAAGGAUUUUUUUCUGUCAGUGCCUUUUUUAUGCCACUGACAGUAAAGACUAGAAGCAUCCCUUUGCAGUGUUCCUGUUUUCCAGUGCCAUCCCCCCUUGACUUGUGCGCAAAAGAUAGCAGAUGCUUUGGGUGUUUGCAGCACACCUGGUUUUUAUGCUAAGAAAAUGUGUAAUUUGGACUAUCAAUGACAGGACUCAGGACCCCAGAAACUCAAGCUGCCUAACAAACAGUAAGUGGAAAAGGAUGAAACCUAACUCCAGUUCCCAUGGGACCAAGCUUGUCUCCUCAACAUUUCCAAGUGCUGGUUUCCUUAUAUUUCAGAGGCAUCUUUUAAAGACGGAUUCUUGCGUUUAUGAAAUCUGAGAAUCUUUUAUAUUUAUUUAUUCUGUUACAUUUAUUGUAAUUAUUGAUAACGAGUCUUUUUCUAACAUGUUAGUGUUUUCCACUUAAGAUUUCUUUCCUAAAUUCAUUAGUUUCCAUAUCCAUUUUUUAAAUUGAUCGAGCUUUAUUUUAUUUUGCUUCUUUUGUUGGUUUGGUUGUAAUUAUAUUUUGUUGUUUUAACAGGGUACUCUGUCAUGCAUACUUGAAUUAAAUUGGCUCUAGCUGAAUAUUAGUAUCUCAUGGACUUCACAUGAGAACAACACAUAGACUUUAGAAUGAUUUACUAUUGGCUUUAAAUUCUUAAGUCAACAAUUAUAUUGCUUCCCCAACUGAAAGUCAUUUUUCCUCUUAAUUCUAUCUAUUACUGCUGACGAUGUAUAUAAUAUGUCUAGUCUCUUGUUUUAUUUUUGGUUUCUCUUUGUAUUUAGUGUUCUGCAGUUUGUCUAUCAUAUGUUUGAGUGCUAAUUCCUUUCUAGCUAUAUGGCUUGGGAAUCAAUCUGAUAUUUUGGUGUGAUAUUCAGGGUUUAUUUUUCCUGAAUUCUAUAAGAAAUCAUUGUCUCUUGAGUACUUCCUUUUCCUCAUUCUCCCUAUGCUCUCCUUUUGUAACUCUUCACAGAUACUUUAAACUUCUAUAUUCUGCC
rnacentral:lncRNA from 1 species